GACGAACGCUGGCGGCGUGCUUAACACAUGCAAGUCGAACGGAAAGGCCCUGCUUUUGUGGGGUGCUCGAGUGGCGAACGGGUGAGUAACAAGUGAGUAACCUGCCCUUGACUUUGGGAUAACUUCAGGAAACUGGGGCUAAUACCGGAUAGGAGCUCCUGCUGCAUGGUGGGGGUUGGAAAGUUUCGGCGGUUGGGGAUGGACUCGCGGCUUAUCAGCUUGUUGGUGGGGUAGUGGCUUACCAAGGCUUUGACGGGUAGCCGGCCUGAGAGGGUGACCGGCCACAUUGGGACUGAGAUACGGCCCAGACUCCUACGGGAGGCAGCAGUGGGGAAUAUUGCACAAUGGGCGGAAGCCUGAUGCAGCAACGCCGCGUGCGGGAUGACGGCCUUCGGGUUGUAAACCGCUUUCGCCUGCGACGAAGCGUGAGUGACGGUAAUGGGUAAAGAAGCACCGGCUAACUACGUG
rnacentral:rRNA from 1 species